AUCAGAACCUGCAGAACCUCCUGGUUCUGUUCGGAGCGUCGGGAUUGUCCUCUGAGAUUCACGUCGUUCUCAUCCCCCAUGGUUUCAGCAUCAGAGUGUUUGACCUGCAGGGAGAUUUUUUUAGCCGAGACGUUGAAGCAGCACCUGUUGUCACAGUUUUCCUGCCACCUGAAAGAGCCGGACCAGAACCGCUGCGCUGGCCUCUCAACGCGCUAUAUCAGGACAGAUGAUGGGGAAAUGUGUGUGUGGGCGCUGUUGCCAUGGCAGCGUGCCUCCGCCGGCUGCACACACACCGCCACCGAGUCGCUGAAGCGCUCGGACUCUCGUGGCGUCAGCGGCGCUGAUUCACAUUUCUUAAAGUUAAUGGAUCAGUUCAGACGUCAAGAUGGCCGCCGUCAGGGAAACGGCAGCAGGAGAGAGAGAGCAAAUGUUCAGGCUGGACUAUAUUUAGCUACAAACAGGCAGAACUCGGACAGAAAACCCAAAAUAUCAGCUUCACAAAGUCUGAAAUGAUUCAACAGGAAUGUAUCAUAACUGAGAAAUAUCAAAACACAAACUGAGCAGGAAACUAGAAACUCUGAACGCAGCGAUCCACUUUUACCUCUUCUGAUACCUGAGCAUCGAACAGAACCGAUCAGAACAGCUGAACUGAUUUUAAAUGUUUCUUUUAUUAAACUGGAACAUAAAUGAACUGAAUUACUAAUUUAAUUAAUAACUCUGCAUCAGUGAACAAUUAAUUACAAGCUAUUGAUUAAACAUGUCAAACUUUAA